AGAUGGAUGAAAUGAUUCCAUUGAAAUUGCUUCUGAGAACUGUGACUUGAAAAUUUAAUUUCUCUUCAGAUGCAAAGGUUCUUAGUUUUGAGAUAUGAGGAAAAUAGAUCAAACAAUCAAAUUAAAAUGAAAGAUUUACAGAAAUUCAUUAAAUACAUUAAAGGCAGGAAUGUAUCACAAGUAGAAAAUUUAUUCAGAAUUUACUGAGUGAUCGAAGGCCCUAACUGGAAAAUAAGGUUCAACGAAUAAUUGGUGUUUUAGAGGUUUUGAAUUCAAAAAGUUUAGAUGGAAAUCUUUUGAUAAAUACAAUAUGACAUGAUUGAAAAUCUCACGAAUGCAUUCUCUAUAGAAAGUAAGAAUGCGAAAGUAACUUUUAUCUCAUUUCAUUGAAGAAAACAACUACAAAUUUGGCAAUAAAAAAGUUAAUUAUUACACUACACAUGAAAUUAUAUCUCGAGCUAUCAUUGUAACGGAUGACAAAAUUAAGAU